UAGACGAUUUUAGAUCCAGAGUAUGCAACUGAUUUAGUUAUUGUUGUUGUCAGAAUCGAACAAGCACAAAAGUCAUUUAUCUAAACCGAAGAGAUAUGGCUCUCUAAAAGGGAGAGGCAAGGGCAGAAUCAUGGGGAAUUAUUUCAGUUUAUAGCUCUUAUUAAUUAAAUCGGAUGUGGUUUUAUUCUGAUCUUUUAGUACCGACCUUGUUAAAUGCUCCCAGGUACCUUUUUCCCCCAGCCCCCAAUUUUUUCAUUCAUUAGAUAACUUGGGUCCCUUGUUGAUGGGGGUUGCGUAUCACUAAGCAGUUGCAAUGUAAAAUCGCGUGCGUCUUCAGACGUUCGCACCCCUCCCAGGGGGGAAAAAAAGAAAGAAAAAGAAAAGAAGAAACCCUUUUCCCAUUCAAUUUUAGCAUCUUGUUUCGUUGAAAUGCAAGACAGGUACUUGAUUUAGCAUUUAAGCAAAAGGUUACACAAACCCCGUUUUAAAAAGUGUUGGGACGUCCGACAGGGUCAGCCCCAGAUCAGAUCAUUUUUUGAAUGCAGACCUAAAGAUAAUGAGUACUUGUUGUAUUAAAGGGGACAAACAGUACUUUGGCUUCCUCUGACCCCAGAAUGCACGGCUCGGUUUCAUUGAUCAUCCUCCUUUAUGAGAUAAUGCAAUUACAAACAUCAAUAAGGGGCUGCAAGGGGAAUCAUUAUGCGGUGACAGUGAUAAAUGACGGUGCAGAAAUAGCAUGCUUUUUCCCCCCUAACAAUCCAGGAGCCCAGGGGCUCCGGGGGCUGAACACAGUCGCCAAGGAAACAGAUGACAUCCCAAACGGCACCAAAGGAAAAAAAAUGAACAGUCUUUCUUUGCCUUUCACUCUUUUCCGUCUUCCAAAGAGUUAGUUUUGGCUCUAGCAGCAGCUGCCACACAGGCAUUUCGUUAUUUCAGACAUUAAAGACCGGAGCGGGCGGCGGGAGUCUCCUCCGCUCCCAUCCCCACCCCCAGUAGAUAACACACAAAGCUCGCUGUUCACAGUUUAGGACUACCCGAAAAUGAACGUCUUGGAAAUAAGAUUGGGGGCCGGGGGGGGGGGGAGCUCGGGAACGUGGAUUUCCACAGCCAUUGCGAUGUGUUUUCCCCGCUUUCACGAUUGCCCAGUGGAAACUGAGUCUCCAGAACAAGCUGGCGCCUCUUGAGUCGGCCAGUAAAGACGGGGCGCGUGGCUCGCCUCCAUCUCCCCGCGGUGCCAGACGCUGUUCGAUGCCAAGGGGGGUGGAGGGGGGGAGCAGGCGGCUGCAAGGGGUGUUUGCCGCUUUGCUGGGUUUCUUUGAAAUGGAAUUAUCAGUGGGUGCAGGGAUCUCCCCUACAUGGAGGAACCAGUUGUUUAAAGCCCCGGGAUGCCCUCAGCAAGUGGCUUCCACAGGGCCUUACUGAGCGAUCUCCACCCACUUACGUCCAGGGUGGUGGGUGAAGUAGGCAGGCGCGAAAAGGCGAUGGGUUACCCCGACUGCAUUGCGGGACCUGUGGCUGCGGGGAAGGGGGGUAAGGGGUGUGUGGAGAGCCUGGGGACACUCGCACGAGAAGGGGAACUCGCCACUUUGGGGAAAGGGAGGAGAAAGAGAGCGCGGAGGUGUGAGGGGGGCCCUGGAAGAAAAGCAGAAGGGAGGGGAGGAGGAAAGCGAGCGAGCACAAUCCCACCCUUCGAGAAGGUCGCCAACCCGAAGAAAGCAGACAUAGGGUUCCUGACCCCUGCCGGGCACGCCCCGGCGUGGAGAGAAGGACCCCUGCGCAGCGUGCCCUGCCACUCGAGGCCCCCGGGAGGAGCCGGCCGGGCGAGCGCGGGAGCAGGUGACUCGAUUCACCGCUUCCCCAAUCGGCAAGGUCCCGGGACUCGUUUUCCGCCUGGAGAUUAAGAUCAUUGCUCGCGUAAUGAACUUAAUGCUUUAGGGUAGAGCUCCGCCUUGGUUGAGAAUGUUACAGAUGCGUUGGCGGGCAGAUUGGGCCAAAAAGGGAAAUUCCCCCCUCCCGCCGUCAGCCGUCUCCCCCAAGGGGAGAUACCCCACUCUUUCUCCCUCACCGCUCUUUCUCGGGCCCUGGGAUUCCCAGCCUCGUGUAACUGUGCGCCUGGCCGCCCUGAGUGCUGUGGGCCGCUUAAUAGUCAAGGGGGUGCGGGGUGGCACGGGAGAGGGGAGUGAGACCGGGGGAAACGCCGGGCCGGGCAGGGCGCCCCAUUACCCAAUUCCACGCCACUCCACCCGGCGGCCAAGCGCCUACCUCGGCUUUGCAGCAAGUCAUGUUUUUCCUGCCUUCACAAGGGCCGAGGGCCUGCUGGGAUUCGAAAGGCAGCGGAAAGUUUAAAGAGAUCCUGAGGAGCUCUGCUUAGGCGUCGGGGCGCUGCCCACGGCUCCCUGCUGCGCUCCAGACCCCGGCACUCGCAGUCCGCCUGGCGGGCGCUGGCCCGGUGCCCAAGUGCCCUCCGGGGCCCCAAGCUCUCGGAGUCGCGGCCCCAGAGCCGCCGUGGGACUUGGGAACAGAGCUCAUCAAGAAGCCUCUAGUCCACCACAAAGCACCCUCAAGCGGCUCCAAGGGAAGGGGUCUGGAGUGCCCCCGGUGGUGCCUCUCCAAACCUGUGCAGACCCAGGAUCGCCUCGUCUCCAGAGACGAAGUCAGCAUCCCCCUUAGACUUGACUUUUGUGUUGGGGUGGGGAAGAGGUAGGAGGUUACUGAAGGUGCCAGAGUCGCCCCCCAAGGUGCUCUGGGCUCUGAGCACAGACCUGUCCGCCUUGCACUGGGCCCAGGCCAGGACGCGGUGCUCGGUGGGACGCAGGGACAGCCAUGUGCGGGGGUGGGGGUGGGGGCGGACUCCUCGCAGCUGCCGGGAUUUUCUCUCUGGGCGCAGGGCCCAAACCGAGGCAUCUGCCCUGGUGCCCCCGGCCCGCAGACUUGGGGGGCGCUGCGCACAGCAAGGAUCCCGGAGCGCCGAGUCUGCGCGCCGCGGGAGAGACGCGGGUGGCAGGAGACUGGUAGGGCUUGUGUUUUUCCUUUUUAGAAUCUUUCGAUUUCACUACGAAGUUUCCUGGUAGGCGCUUCUGCCCCGGGGUCGGAGCCUCCCACCGCCGCUCCUUCCCCUCCCUUCUCCCCGCCCCCGCGAGCCGAGGGUGCUGGAGCCUCCGCCCGGACCUGGCCCACCGCUCGGUCCCCCCGGCCGGGACCCCGGCGCCCGGAGCUCCGCGCCGCCCUCCCCGGGCUCCGCGGGGGUGCCUCUCCCCGGGGCGAAACUCGCCGGCCCGGCGCACUGCAAGGAGACACCCGCUGCCUCCCGAGGAACUCCUAAUACCAUCCAUACAGCUUUAAUGCGUUUAUAAUUCGAUAAGUGAUUUCAAUUUGAAAUUGUUAGUAACUAAUUUUAUGGGUAAUUUUUCCACAUCAAAUAUUUAAGCAUCAGAUUAAGGGAGCCAGUUCCGACACAGGAUAAUAAGGGGGUUUCCCCCCCACCCCCCGCGCCUCCGCCUCCCUCCGUUUCCUACCGAGUCGUUUUUCCAAAUCCCCAAAAGAUGGCAGUCGAAGCCGACAUUCUUCUUUUCUUGCGGCUCUGUGAAGGGAGGGGGAGAGAGGGGGAAGAAGGUGGGAGUAAGAGAGAGGAAAGAGGGAGGCAGAGAGAGGGGGGAGGAAGGAGGGAGGGAGAGAGAAGAAAAGGAGAAGGAGAAACUAGACGUUGCAUAGACGUUUCAAACUAAUUCUUUCACACGUUUCUAAUACAUGCAAGAAGCAGUGGCGAAUUUCCUGGAAAUGUCCUGGCAGAAAAGAAGGCCAAAAAACGUGCCUUGUGGGCUGAGAAUAGGAGAUGUGAGAAACUCAGCACUUUCAAACUAAACCCUCAGUUCAGAGCAGAAGGGGGAGAGGCGAGAUCAGGAGAGGCACGGCUUCUUGAUAUUUCUUUGUAUUUUAACAUUAUAUACAAAUACUAUACAAGUAAGCAACUUGUUUCCUCGAGGACAAGACUGCAAAUUACAUAAUGGGAGGAGAGGGGGUGGGGUGGAGAAAGGUGAUAGGUGGGGGGCAGAACUCUGUGGACGGAGGGGGGCUGGGGCCAGCAGCCGAUGAAUUGCAGACCAGUUGCCAAAACUUUUUUUUUUUUUUCCUGCUGCUGCUGCUGCGGCUGCCUUUGCUGCUGCCGUUGCUUUGAAUGUGGGUAACUAGGAAACAGCAAGCCGUCUGAGAAGACGGAAUUUCCAACGUGUAAAAUGUUCUUAACGGAACCAUUGAGCGAGUGCAAUAAGGCGUGAGGGGGAACUAAUCUUCCCAUUUAAAUGUUUGUGGCAAUUUUAUCUAAAUGAAUUUUAAUGCUAAACGAGGGUAAUUCCCCAUUUGUAGCGCGUUUACUUCUCUUUCCUGUGCUUCUAAAGCCGUCGAACAUCAUGCAAUGAACAAUAACAAUAAAAGUACUGUCAAGGCAUAUUA